rnacentral:rRNA from 1 species
CCGGCGCACGGGUGAGUAACGCGUAUGCAACUUACCUAUCAGGAGGGGAUAACCCGGCGAAAGUCGGACUAAUACCGCAUGAAGCAGGGGCCCCGCAUGGGGAUAUUUGCUAAAGAUUCAUCGCUGAUAGAUAGGCAUGCGUUCCAUUAGGCAGUUGGCGGGGUAACGGCCCACCAAACCGACGAUGGAUAGGGGUUCUGAGAGGAAGGUCCCCCACAUUGGUACUGAGACACGGUCCAA